rnacentral:lncRNA from 1 species
GUUUAGGUGGGAGUUCCUAGGAAUUUUAUACUCUGACCACAGAGGCCAUGGGAGAAAGGAAAUAGGAAAAACAGUGUAAAUACCUGGGUGACUAAUGACUCUGUCCAGCCCGUCUGGCUCUCGGAACAUGAAGCCUGCGGUGAUCUCGGGGAGGCAGGACUGGGAAAAGGCUGCAACAGAUUUCCCUGCUGCCCCUGCGUCUCCCAUGCGCUGGAGGUGGGGCAGGGUUUCCAAGCUGACCAUCUGCACGGGCCGAGAUUGACAGCAGCCCGGGAAGGCCAGCGCCUCCACCAUAUCCACCCCAGCACCAGGCCCCCGGAGCAAAGCGGGGACAUCUGCUCACCUUAAUUUAGAAACGCUGGCUCCCGUUUCACUGGAGCCCCUCGGCUUAACAUUCUGCCCUGGCGAGGGCCAGGCUGAAGAGGGCCUCUCCGGGCUGUCACAGGCUCUCCUUUCCCAGGAGAAAGGCAGCUGAGGCUUAUCGGGGGAUGGAAAGUAGAGGAGCGGGGUGGGGCAGAGAACCCCCCUCCUUUUCACCCCGGCCAUCCACCUCCGUACCACAUAUGCGGCAAGGGGAGGGGCAGAUCUGACUCUGGGAUAGGUGACUUUGCUCUCGGCCAGGGAGGUCUGUUUCAGAUGGAGCCAUCUGCAAGUAUUCCAGCUUAAGACCAGGCAGGAAAGGGGGACAGGGAGAGAGCGGGAGGGGGAACGGGAAAUAACAAAUGGGACAGGACUUGUAGCUUGAAUGUGGACGAGGGGCCAGAGCCGUUUACCAGUGGGGGAGGCAAAAAUCUAGCAUCUAUUUUUUUAAAAUAUAAAAUGUAUCCUAGGGGCGGCUAGGUGGUGCAGUGGAUAGAGAACCAGCCCUGAAAUCAGGAGGACCUGAGUUUAAAUGUGACACUGAACACUUCCUAGCUGUGUGACCCUGGGCAAGUCACCUAACCCUAAUUGCCUCAGGGGAAAAAAAGAAUCCUGGUUUUCCUGGCCUGAGUUCAAAUAUGUUGUUGUUCAGUUUUGUCUGGUUCUUCAGGAAACUAGAGUGGCUUGCCUUUUCCUUCUAUAGCUCAUUUUACAGAUGAGGAAACUGAGGCAGACAAGAUUAAGUAAUUUGAUCACACCUACAGACACCUAGUAAGUGUCUGAGACUAGAUCUGAACUCAGGAAAAUGAGUCUUCUUGACUGCAGACCUGGCACUUUCUCUACUGCACCAUCAUUCCCUAUAUUGUAUUAUAUUUAUCUGGGUACUUGUCAUCUCUAUUCCAUAAUAUAAAUAAUUAUAUUAAAUACAAAGCUCCAUUGUAUUAUAUUUAUCUGGGUACUUGUCAUCUCUAUUCCAUAAUAUAAAUAAUUAUAUUAAAU